AGCAGCUCAGAUUUGCAUAGCGAGGCUCCGCCCCUCGCGGCCUCCCAGCGCCGGCGGAGAGUAGCCCCCAGGCCCUCGACCCAGCCUUCUUCUGCUUUAAAGGAGCCGCUACUUUCCCGUUGGAUCAGCUCCAGAAGCGGCUUCGUCGAGAGUCCGGAAAUAGAAGGGUUAAUGCAGAGCUGCCCGGCAGCACCUUCCACAGCCCCCUUUACGCGCAAGCACACAGCUCUUACCUUGUAGGUAUAAAUGUUGCAGCACCGAAGGGAAGGCUUCCCCAGAGCAAGCGUUGCAGCUCUGAGGGGAAAGGUAACAACCCUCACACAAGAUGUUUAUUAGCAAAGACACAAGAGUGUGGCUGGGAGAAGCAGCAAAGAACUGAGCAGGAGGGCAGAGUUAGCCACCUGUCUCUCCAGGGGCUGAAAACUGCUUUUAAGGACCUUACAGUAAUCUGAGAGACAGAACCUGGCCACUCAGGGGCCCUAAGAGGCUUACACUAAGGACCUCUGUGUUUGUGUGUGUAAAAAUAAAAAUAUUGAACAUAAAAUAACAGACAGUGGUACAAGUGACCAAGGAAAAGAGGUGUGAUGAGACUAAUGAGGGGCCCGAUUUGUGACACCAAGACUCUCGCCUGGGGCCAGUAAGAAGGCCCAGUAAGCCUGCUACAAGUUCAAUUCCUGUAAGUUCUAUGUCCUUUACAUGUGUGUAUGCUUAGCCAACAGGCCUGAGAAAACACAAAUGAAGGCUCAGUAGAAAUGGUUGUGACUCAUUCCUUUUCUUUUCAGACAAGGUUUUAUGCAGUCCAUGCUGGCCUUAGAACUAGAUGUGUAGUCUUUUUUGUUUUCUCUCUUAAAGAUCUUUAC